rnacentral:misc_RNA from 1 species
GUCUGAUCUUGAACAUGAGCUUUCUAAGAAGGAAAUAAAUUUAGAGAAGUUGAGGAGAAUUGCUAGUACAGGUCUCCCUGAGGGAGGAGGUUUACGCGCAGCAACUUGGAAGGUUCUCUUAGGNNNNNNUUUGCCUCCUACUCGUGACUUGUGGGAAAAGGAGCUGACUGAGAACAGACAAAAAUAUGCCAAGCUAAAAGAGGAGCUUCUAUCAAGUCCCUCAGAACUCAACAGGG